GACCGCGACCCCAGGUCAGGC
rnacentral:rRNA from 14 species